rnacentral:rRNA from 1 species
CCUGGCGGCCGUAGCGCGGUGGUCCCACCUGACCCCAUGCCGAACUCAGAAGUGAAACGCCGUAGCGCCGAUGGUAGUGUGGGGUCUCCCCAUGUGAGAGUAGG